rnacentral:rRNA from 1 species
UACAGAGGCCUCGAGCGUUAGGCGGAAUCACUGGGCGUAAAGCGUCUGUAGGUGGUUCGAAAAGUCCACUGUUAAAAAUUGAGGCUUAACUUCAAAGAUGCCGUGGAAACUUUCAAACUAGAGUAUGGUAGGGGUAGAGGGAAUUUCCAGUGGAGCGGUGAAAUGCGUAGAUAUUGGAAAGACCACCGAUGGCGAAGGCACUCUACUGGGCCAUUACUGACACUGAGAGACGAAAGCUAGGGGAGCAAAUGGG